rnacentral:misc_RNA from 1 species
GUCCGUUUCAAAUUCUGAAACAGUUUUAAAACCGCUAUUCCAUUUCAAAGUUAGAAACCACAUUGAUUCGGUUUCAAAAUCCUUUUCAAUUUAAAAACUGAUAUUUUUUGUUUUAAUUUUUCUAAAACGAAUUUCUAUUUUCAAUCGGUUUCUAAAUUGUAAAAACAAAUAAAACACUUUUUAAAACCAAAAUAUAUUCAGUUUUUAAAUAGAAACAAAAUUUCUUUUUUAAAUCCGUUUUUAAGCAUAAUAAAAUAAAAUAAAAACAUUUUAUUUUGUAACCAAAUACUUUUUUGUUUCAAAUUAAAAAUGAAAUUCAAUUUCUAAUCCGUUUUAAAUUACCGUAAAAAUUUUUAUUUUUAUUUAUUUAAUGCAUUAUUUUUUAUAGUGAAGCAUAUAAUAUAUUAUCAAAUCUCAAUAAUACAAGAAAAUUAAAAAUUCUAUCAUAGAUAAAAUAAAUAAAACAUUGGAGAAAAGGAUAUCUUUAUUAAAUUAUGAAGUUCAUAAAUUUAAUAUAUGCAAAGAAAAGUAUACACUUGCAAUGCAAUUGAAACCCUAAGAAAUCCAAUAUAGACUCCAACCAACAAACUUCAGUAUUGGGCAAUAAUUAUAUCACAACAAAUAUAGAUUACAAUAUCACAAAAGUGAACCAAGUCAUGUCUGGCCAUAUUUUCUCGGUAAAUACCCAUGCUAGCAAGAUCUGGACCAUUCCACUCCAUGUUUAUUCAUGAAUAUUCUGGUCCCAUAACAAUAUCUCUUCAAACAUUAAUUAUGCCCCAUAGUCAAAUCAAGGAUAAAGCCAUAAUCUGCAUCAAGGAAAAGCACCUCAAUGAGUAAAAGUGAAUUCAAAAUUACUCUUAAGUAAAUAGAAAGCAGGACAAUUUUCUUUCCAUUAGUUCAAUAUAAAGGACUUAAAUCUGAAAAUUUGUAAGUAUCAGUAGUAGCAAAUAUUAGUUUAAUCAAUCAUAGCCCUCAUAGUCAACAGAACGCAGAAACCACCUAU